AUGAACGCUGGCGGCGUGCCUAAUCCAUGCAAGUCGAGCGAACAGAUGAGGAGCUUGCUCCUCUGACGUUAGCGGCGGACGGGUGAGUAACACGUGGAUAACCUACCUAUAGGACUGGGAUAACUUCGGGAAACCGGAGCUAAUACCGGAUAAUAUAUUGAACCGCAUGGUUCAAUAGUGAAAGACGGUUUUGCUGUCACUUAUAGAUGGAUCCGCGCCGCAUUAGCUAGUUGGUAAGGUAACGGCUUACCAAGGCAACGAUGCGUAGCCGACCUGAGAGGGUGAUCGGCCACACUGGAACUGAGACACGGUCCAGACUCCUACGGGAGGCAGCAGUAGGGAAUCUUCCGCAAUGGGCGAAAGCCUGACGGAGCAACGCCGCGUGAGUGAUGAAGGUCUUCGGAUCGUAAAACUCUGUUAUUAGGGAAGAACAAAUGUGUAAGUAACUAUGCACGUCUUGACGGUACCUAAUCAGAAAGCCACGGCUAACUACGUG
rnacentral:rRNA from 1 species